rnacentral:rRNA from 1 species
ACGUAUGUCGCAAGCGUUAUCCGGAAUUAUUGGGCAUAAAGGGCAUCUAGGCGGCCCUGUAAGUCUAGGGUGAAAACCUGCGGCUCAACCGCAGGCCUGCCCCGGAAACUACAGGGCUAGAGUAUCGGAGAGGUGGACGGAACUGCACGAGUAGAGGUGAAAUUCGUAGAUAUGUGCAGGAAUGCCGAUGAUGAAGAUAGUUCACUGGACGGUAACUGACGCUGAAGUGCGAAAGCUAGGGGAGCAAACAGGAUUAGAAACCCUUGU